UGUAAAGCCAAGGAAAAGUCAGCUCCAAGAAGAGUAACAGUAAGCUCACUGCCUAAAAACGCUGUUAAUGAUAAAUGCUGGCUAACAAAAAAUAACCAAAACUUUCCACUGAGACAACUUAUCAACAUUUAAAGAUGGUUUUAGCUCAACAGGGAGAAAAUUAAAAAUUCACUGUCUCACAUGACUGUUUCAGCAGUCUUAUCUGUUGGCAUAACAUCUUUCAUAGAAUUAUGAAUUAUAUGCAUUUCACUAUAACAUUGAUGUGAUGACUGGCUAGCUAGGAAGCUACACCAUCAUUCAUGAAAAUACUAGCCGAAUUAAUUUGACCAAAGAUUGCCAAAAUAAUUUAACUGCAAUGUUAUCAACAAAACUUCAAAAAAGCUAUCUUGUCUACCAAGUUCAUUAAUACAGGUCCGUGUUGAUUGGUUCCCUGAAUCCACAGUAUCAUUGCCUCAUGCUAUAACAGUGCUAAGAAGCCAACUCAUUGUUAGUUGUCUCUCUAUGCUCAUCUUUAUUCCCCUUUUCCCCUCCUUGCAGCAGAUGGCUGCCCCUAACUGAGCCUAGCUCUUCUGGAGUUCUCUUCCUGUUAAAAGGGAGUUCUUCUUUUCCACUGUCACCAAGUGACUGCUCACAGGGAAUUGUCUGAUCGGUGGGGUUCUUGUGCGUUCUUGCAAUAUAAAAACUCCUUGAGGUAAAGCCAGGUCAACUAGGGCUAUAUAAAAUGGUGAAUUAAAUUAGCUUCUCCUUAUUGCAAGUUUUUUAUUCCAUUUACUGUCCGGCUGUCAGGCCUCUUCUCACAGCACCUGCCACCACAAUCAUCUACUAUGGCCCACGGGUCCUUAAUUUGACAAACUUAGCAUCUGCGUUUUGGCUUUUGGCUUUCUCCACAAGUGCCUUCCCUUUUUCUCCUACCCAUUUUGGCACGCUGACUAUUUUUCCUGAUGUGUUGUUGAAAGACCGGUGCGUCCACCCAAAUGCAAAUGCUUAUAUUGGCUUACAGGAAAAGUGCCCAUUCUGCCAGAUGGCCAGCCCUGGACCUCAUGCAUGACAUCACAUGUAUACAUGUUCUCAUACACAUGCACGAUACAACCAAAGAUUUUGCUCUAGUAGAGCUCCUAAAAUCAAACAAACUCUACAAGGUACCUUUGAAUAACAAACACACAUUAAACAGAAAGUUUUAAAACAUGGGCAAUCAGUUUUCUAAAAAUUACACUGGAAAAUUGUAAAAGAUUUAAAACACUUUUGAUUUUUUUUUUAUCAAAUGCAUAAAGACAUUUUGUAUGCAGUUCGAAUGCAUUUUGCCAUAAUGUAUCUGCUUUAAAAGAAAACCACAUGUAACAGAAAAGGAGAACAAUUGUGUUACAAGCUACAAGCUUAGGUUGGUUUGUGUGUGCAAGGGUGUCGUAAUAGAGCACGGGCCCAGCAGAGGAGAACACAGUUAACAGCUGCUGAAAUUUGUCUCAGUGAGGAAAUAAUGAGAUAAGUAGAACUGAAAAUGCACGGAUAUUUGAAAGGCAUUAAAGUGUUUCGUCUGAGAUUUAAAGUAGAGUUUUUGUAACAAUCGUGGAGUGACGGAAGUACAUUUCCAGUUUUUAACACUGCGCUUCACUCAGAAUGUUCUCUCUCAAACAAGUCAGAUCUUCUAUUUUUCUAUCGAUCUCUAUUUUUGUACACUUUGUGUUCAGCCGAAUUAGCAGACAAGGCUGUGUCACUGAAUUUAAAGGUGCUUUUCUGUGUAUUAAUUUUGGCUGAUGGAGACCUGCUUUGGUGAAUACAGUGGUUGAGAUUUACAUUAACACAUGUUCAUUGUUCUGCUCUGAGCUGUUUCAUGUUGAUUUCUGUUGCUGUAAAGAGAUUGUUUCAUUAUUUUUCAGUGUUUUCAACAGAAAUCCUGCUUGAACCUGAAAAUAAACAUCUGAUGAUUGUGUUCAAGUGCAGCAAUUUCUUAAUUAAAAGCAAAA
ensembl:lncRNA